GGAACAAGGUGCACCGGUUAACUGCCGGUGCAUUGAUAGUACCAGAAGAGGAAGAGACGGCUAACUCUGUGCCAGCAGCCGCGGUAAUACGUAGGGAGCGAGCGUUGUCCGGAAUCAUUGGGCGUAAAGCGCGCGUAGGCGGCCCGAUCAGUCCGCUGUAAAAGUCAACGGCUCAACCGUUGAAAGCCGGUGGAUACUGUCGGGCUAGAGUACGGAAGAGGCAAGUGGAAUUCCUGGUGUAGCGGUGGAAUGCGCAGAUAUCAGGAGGAACACCCAUAGCGAAGGCAGCUUGCUGGGACGUUACUGACGCUGAGGCGCGAAAGCGUGGGGAGCGAACAGGAUUAGAUACCCUGGUAGUCCACGCCGUAAACGAUGGGAACUAGGUGUGGGAGGUGUCGACUCCUCCCGUGCCGUCGCUAACGCAUUAAGUUCCCCGCCUGGGGAGUACGGCCGCAAGGCUAAAACUCAAAGGAAUUGACGGGGGCCCGCACAAGCAGCGGAGCAUGUGGUUUAAUUCGAUGCAACGCGAAGAACCUUACCUGGGUUUGAAAUGUUGGUGACAGGCGUGGAAACACGUCCUUCCUUCGGGACACCAUCACAGGUGGUGCAUGGCUGUCGUC
rnacentral:rRNA from 1 species